GCUCACUAUACCUUUUUCCCCAAAUAAAAAUAGGAGAUGCUCAAUCAAUUUACUCAGAAACAAAACCUUAUUUCCAUCUCCUUCACAUUUCAUCGCAGAAAUUCUCUAUUGUAGCUUUAUCUAGUUCUUCUUGCUACAGAUCUUGUUUUUACGGUACGUUUCUCUCUUCUUCUAUGUCUUCGAUUGGGGAAGUGGAGAAACAGUUCAAAUCAUUCCAACAUCGUUUGGAGGAGUUGGGGAGACUACAAAAGCGGUUAAGGAUAGUUUCCAUCACAACUAUAUCCUAAAAUGGAGGCAUGUAUAUUCUUCCUUAUGUGGUAGCAACUCUCUAUUCAAGAUGAAUUUCAGUCCCUGCUCUCUCCUCGAGAUAGAACUUCAGGCUACCAUGGGUAGUUCCGAAGUUUCACUCCAAAAAUUUGUACAUGCCUUCAAAUUAGAGAGUCACGUGGGCUGCAAUUCUAUCUUUUCAACACAUAUAUCUUCUCUGCUACAAUUUUCCUUCUUCACAGACAACCAAAAGGUUAAACUUCCUAAUGUAGACCUCUUCAUGUUUCCGCGCAUAUUUUGAUUUCCCUUUUUCAUAAGUCUGGCGAUCCUUCUCAUCUUUUCUUCGAGAGGGGAACAUGGUUGGCAGAAGGGUUGUUGAGUUCAACAAAUACCUCUAUUCAUUUUCUAGUAUUAUAUGUAACAUGCGACGAAUCUUAUAUCUCUAGCUGGUCCUGAUGCUGGGAUAGCUUCUAUUCCCUGGAUCCGUGGUUCAGGUAUCUGGAGCAUUCUUGAAGAAUCUUUACUCAAGAUAGCAAUUUACAACAAUUUUAUCCAGGUUACACAAAAAUCCCUACUGACAUAGCUAUUUAUUAAAAAGGAUGUAAGUGUCUUCCAGUACUCAACAAUAAGGUACACAGAAACUCUAAUGACAAGAAAAGGCUUGCAAAUUUAGAAAAUUUACUUAUUAUGUUUGAAAAGGAUGAAAUUUUUGUACCAAAGCAGACCUCAUGGUUUUGGUACUAUCCUGAUGGUUCCUUCACCACUCUCUCACCUGAUCAGAAGAUGACACAAACUAGAAGUAAGAGAAGUGAAAGUGGAGCUUCAAAUGAGACAUACCUUACACCUCAUCUCCCAGUGAGGUUGAAGUUGAUGUUGAUACUUCAAAUAAAAGAAAAACCAUGGAACCUAGAGCUAAUUAUUGGAAGCAUUUUGAAAAGUUCACCGAUGAACAUGGAGCUAGUAAAGCCAAAUGCAAGUAUUGUGAAAAAGCUUAUGUAGCCUCUACAUCAUCUAAUGUUGCAGCUUGUAAGUUCAACUAUCAACUAGUGAUGUGUGAUAAUGAAUCUAUUUUCUCGCAGGUCCAUCAAUGUUUUGUUAUUCUCUUGAUUGCUGUCUGCUAGAACUUGGGAGCAAUUGCAAUGUAGGUUGCAAGUUGGAACGAUGUUUUGUUGGAUUUCUAAAUCUAUUUGUUGCUGGAAGUUGCAAUGAGCCAAAUAAUGAUGAUUUUAGUUUGUAACUAACUCUAUUUUAGUGAUGGACACAAGUUUGUUGAACUUUCACAAGUUCGUUGUUGUGUUGUUGUCUUGACUUUUGAUAGAGGUUGCAAGUUGCAACGAUGUUUUGUGGAUUUUCUAAAUCUCUUUGUUGCUGGAAAUUGCAAUGAGCCAGAUAAUGAUGACUUUAGUUUGUAACUAACUCUAUUUUAGUGAUGGACACAAGUUUAUUGAA